AGAACGAACGCUGGCGGCAGGCCUAACACAUGCAAGUCGAACGCCUUAGCAAUAAGGAGUGGCAGACGGGUGAGUAACACGUGGGAACGUACCCUUCGGUUCGGAAUAACUCAGGGAAACUUGUGCUAAUACCGGAUACGAUCGCGAGAUGAAAGAUUUAUCGCCGAAGGAUCGGCCCGCGUCUGAUUAGCUAGUUGGUGAGGUAAUGGCUCACCAAGGCGACGAUCAGUAGCUGGUCUGAGAGGAUGACCAGCCACAUUGGGACUGAGACACGGCCCAAACUCCUACGGGAGGCAGCAGUGGGGAAUAUUGGACAAUGGGCGCAAGCCUGAUCCAGCCAUGCCGCGUGAGUGAUGAAGGCCUUAGGGUUGUAAAGCUCUUUUACUCGGGAAGAUAGUGACGGUACCGAGAGAAUAAGCCCGGCUAACUUCGUGCCAGCAGCCGC
rnacentral:rRNA from 1 species